UGAAAGUUCCAAUAAAUUGCACAAUGACUUACGUUCUGCCGUCAACGGCUGCUUGAAAGGAAACCAUAGACCUGGGAAUCAUUUUAUCGAAGGGAUUAGCUAUCCCUAAAGGCAGAGACAACUGCCCAAAGUUUUUGCAAGAAAUAGCAGAAAAAUGAAAAGAAAGGCAGCAGAGUUAGAGACCGAGGCAGCAGAAAUAGGAUUAUUGGCUUCGGGAGGAAACGGGACAUCCCAACAAGUCAACACCCCUACCAUCACCACAACUACUACAGAUGUUUGUGGUUCGACCCCAGAUCCCGUUAAAGGAGGAGGUGUUGAUUUUUGUGAUUCUAUGGCAGAAAAGGAACUUGGCAGUCAAAAUGAUGUGGAGUUUAAUCUUGAAGAUGAGGAGGCUCUUAAGAGCAAAGGAACACCACCAGCUAGUAAUUGGUCUGCAAGUUCCAAGGAUUCGCUUCAGGAUCAGACUGAUCAAAGUGAUACCUAUAUCAGCAAUUAUGACGAAACAAGUGGACAUGAAGGAGAUGAGCCGAAAAAGGCAGAUCUUGUAAUGGAAAACAAUAGGGUACCGGCCUUGCAUAAACGGAAAAUAAGUCAACGUCAAUCAAAAGAUAAACGUCGUCGUUCUCAUGAACACAAAGGUGUUGAUUUUUGUGAUUCUAUGGCAGAAAAGGAACUUGGCAUUCAAAAUGAUGGGGAGUUUAAUCUUGGAGAUGAGGAGGCUCUUAAGAGCAAAGGAACCCCACUAGCGAUUAAUUUGUCUGCAGGUUCCAAGGAUUCGCUUCACGAUCAGACUGAUCAAAAUUAUACUUAUAUCAGUAACUACGACGAAACAAGAGGACAUAAAAGAGAUGAGUUGAACGAGGCAGAUCUUGGAAUGGAAAACAAAAGGGUACAGCGGAGAUCGCUCCCUGAAAAGAUGUCUGCUUUCUUGGACGAGUUCCCUGGAAAGUGCGCUCGUCUCCAAAGUUUUGAAAGCCGUUCCGGAGACUAUUCCGGUCGAGUCAUUUUAGCGGAAUAUUUCGAUACCGCUAAAAAAAUAAGCCUUGACAGCAGUUUUUGAGAACCUAGCCCAGAAAGAAGAGACAGGAGCUCGUCUCGGAUGCCUAACCCAGGAAUAAAGCGGCCACCUGUUACUGUUAUUCAGACACCGCCGCCACCACCGCCACCAACAGUAUAGAGAGAGAGAGUACGCAUUUGGGGAUUGUAAUCGGGGGUAUUGUAUGAAUUUGUUGUUUUUACAAUAAACUUAUAUAGAUAUUAGCUUCUAUUUGGUGAGUGUAAUGCAGACCAUUUGAAGACUUGAGCAUUAAUAAUAUGAUCUCAUAUUUGUAUUUUAUUUUAA